GCCGACAGCUAGCUCUCUGCAACUCUCUCUGCACUGGGCUUACUGAAGCUAAGCAUUGCUGCGCCCGGGCAGUACCUGGAUAGGAGACCACAUGGGAAAGCAAGGUUGCUGUCGGAA
ensembl:rRNA 5S_rRNA 5S ribosomal RNA